UACGUAGGGGGCUAGCGUUGUCCGGAAUCAUUGGGCGUAAAGCGCGUGUAGGCGGCCCGGUAAGUCCGCUGUGAAAGUCGGGGGCUCAACCCUGGAAUGCCGGUGGAAACUGUCGGGCUGGAGUCCGGAAGAGGCGAGUGGAAUUCCUGGUGUAGCGGUGAAAUGCGCAGAUAUCAGGAGGAACACCAAUGGCGAAGGCAGCUCGCUGGGACGGUACUGACGCUGAGGUGCGAAAGCGUGGGGAGCAAACAGG
rnacentral:rRNA from 1 species